rnacentral:rRNA from 1 species
GAUGAACGCUGGCGGCGUGCCUAAUACAUGCAAGUCGAGCGAACAGACGAGGAGCUUGCUCCUCUGACGUUAGCGGCGGACGGGUGAGUAACACGUGGAUAACCUACCUAUAAGACUGGGAUAACUUCGGGACACCGGAGCUAAUACCGGAUAAUAUAUUGAACCGCAUGGUUCAAUAGUGAAAGACGGUUUUGCUGUCACUUAUAGAUGGAUCCGCGCCGCAUUAGCUAGUUGGUAAGGUAACGGCUUACCAAGGCAACGAUGCGUAGCCGACCUGAGAGGGUGAUCGGCCACACUGGAACGGAGACACGGUCCAGACUCCUACGGGAGGCAGCAGUAGGGAAUCGUCCGCAAUGGGCGAAAGCCUGACGGAGCAACGCCGCGUGAGUGAUGAAGGUCUUCGGAUCGUAAAACUCUGUUAUUAGGGAAGAACAAAUGUGUAAGUAACUAUGCACGUCUUGACGGUACAUAAUCAGAAAGCCACGGCUAACUACGUG